rnacentral:rRNA from 1 species
GAAACCAACAGGGAUUGCCCUAGUAACGGCGAGUGAAGCGGCAACAGCUCAAAUUUGAAAUCUGGCGUCUUCGGCGUCCGAGUUGUAAUUUGCAGAGGGCGCUUUGGCAUUGGCAGCGGUCCAAGUUCCUUGGAACAGGACGUCACAGAGGGUGAGAAUCCCGUACGUGGUCGCUAGCCUUUACCGUGUAAAGCCCCUUCGACGAGUCGAGUUGUUUGGGAAUGCAGCUCUAAAUGGGAGGUAAAUUUCUUCUAAAGCUAAAUACUGGCCAGAGACCGAUAGCGCACAAGUAGAGUGAUCGAAAGAUGAAAAGCACUUUGGAAAGAGAGUUAAAAAGCACGUGAAAUUGUUGAAAGGGAAGCGCUUGCAGCCAGACUUGCCUGUAGUUGCUCAUCCGGGUUUCUACCCGGUGCACUCUUCUACGGGCAGGCCAGCAUCAGUUUGGGCGGUUGGAUAAAGGUCUCUGUCAUGUACCUCUCUUCGGGGAGAACUUAUAGGGGAGACGACAUGCAACCAGCCUGGACUGAGGUCCGCGCAUCUGCUAGGAUGCUGGCGUAAUGGCUGUAAGCGGCCCGUCUUGAAACACGGACCAAGGAGUCUAACAUCUAUGCGAGUGUUUGGGUGUCAAGCCCGAGCGCGUAAUGAAAGUGAACGGAGGUGGGAACCCUUCGGGGUGCACCAUCGACCGAUCCUGAUGUCUUCGGAUGGAUUUGAGUAAGAGCAUAGCUGUUGGGACCCGAAAGAUGGUGAACUAUGCUUGAAUAGGGUGAAGCCAGAGGAAACUCUGGUGGAGGCUCGCAGCGGUUCUGACGUGCAAAUCGAUCGUCAAAUUUGGGCAUAGGGGCGAAAGACUAAUCGA